rnacentral:rRNA from 1 species
AGUAACGCGUGAGGAACCUGCCUCAAAGAGGGGGACAACAGUUGGAAACGACUGCUAAUACCGCAUAAGCCCACGGCUCGGCAUCGAGCAGAGGGAAAAGGAGUGAUCCACUUUGAGAUGGCCUCGCGUCCGAUUAGCUAGUUGGUGAGGUAACGGCCCACCAAGGCGACGAUCGGUAGCCGGCCUGAGAGGUUGAACGGCCACAUUGGGACUGAGACACGGCCCAG